UUAAAUUAGUAGGGUGGUGUGUGGAGUUGUGAAAGUUAGGGAAGUUGUUGGUGAAAUGGGCGGCAACAACGCGGAGAAAUAGACUGCACAUAGUUUUUAUACGGGGAAGGAUCGAUAAGUUUAAAUAACGAGAAGAGGAAGGAAGGAGAAGAAACGUACAUUUUCAUAUUUUACAUCCUUUAGAAAAUUACUAUUUGGUUGUUCAAUGGAAAUAUUUUGUAGUUAUGUAUAUUAUAAAUGUGUAAAAUUAUUUUAGAAAUCCUAAUGUCAGUACUCUAAAUUAAUACUUUUUUAUUAUUAUUCAAAAUAUAUAAUUUUUUAUUUUAGUUAAACAAUCGUUUGUCAACAAUGUUUCUAGGAAAAAUGCGUUUUUAUUAGCGUGGUUUGAUUAUAUUUGAACUGUGUCAUCUUACCACAAAAUUGUUUAUUAAGUUGUAAAGCUGUUAAAAUUAUAAAAUAACCAACAUUUAAGAGGUUUAUUGAAUUAUUUAUUUUUAAUUACAAAUAUGUUUGGUACAAAUUGAACAAUUGUAUAAUUAAUAAAUUUACAAGGUGUUUUUAAAAUAGGUAGUCAAAAUUUUAAAGCAGCAGCAACACGUCCAAUAUUGAAAAAAUCUAAAUAUAUUUUUUGCCUAAAAUCAAUUAAGCUCUAAAAUUUAAAUUUUAUAAAAAUGUCUCUUCUAUCUUUCUAAAACCUUUAGACCAAUCGUGUUGAGUUAUCUUUCUUUACAAAUUCUGAGCGACAUUUAUGUGAGACGACCAAGAACAGUUAGAACAGUUGCAAAUGAAGAGAAUAUCUUUCAGUUAGUUUACGUAAAUCUAAAUAUUAGGAAAAAUGCAUACUUACCAUUAUCGAUAAGCCCAAAAUUUUUUAGUUAACAGAUCUAAGCCUGUCAUGAACACGAUCACAGUUUAAUCUGAUGAUACAACAUUCACUGGAAAUGGCGUUUUUAAUAUUCACAAUGAAUAUGUUUGGAUUCAUGAAAACCUUAAUGCAAUAAAAAUCACACACACACUGGAAUCCUAGUAAUUUGACUGGAGAAAUGUAUCUUCAAUUUUUAGAGAGCUCGAAGGUAUUCCAUUGGACAGAAAACAUGUUCUUUGGUGUAUUCAUGACGUGUUGGACCAAAUGAAAGAGAUGAUCUGCCUGUCAACAAUAUAGAAGAAUUACAUCAAAGACUUGAAAAUUCAUUUAAUGAAAUUUGCGAAGAGCAAUGUCUGGGCCAAAAAGGAAGAAAUUUAUACAUUAACAAAAUUAGGGCUUAUUGAAAUAUGAAUGUUCAUGUUUAUCACAUUAACAUAGGAUAUAAUAAAUGAUUUUUUUAAUUCUUCUA